rnacentral:rRNA from 1 species
UACGGAGGGUGCAAGCGUUAUCCGGAUUUACUGGGUUAAAGGGUGCGUAGGUGGGUUGGUAAGUCAGUGGUGAAAUACUUUCGCUUAACGAAGGAACUGCCAUUGAUACUACCAGUCUUGAAUACAGUGGAGGUAGGCGGAAAUGCGUCAUGUAGCGGUGAAAUGCUUAGAUAUGACGCAGAACACCAAUUGCGAAGGCAGCUUGCUACACUGUUAUUGACACUGAGGCACGAAAGCGUGGGGGAUCAAACAGG